rnacentral:rRNA from 1 species
CGAAGGAUGCAAGCGUUAUCCGGAUUCAUUGGGUUUAAAGGGAGCGUAGGUGGCUUUGUAAGUCAGUGGUGAAAUCUUCUCGCUUAACGAGAAAACUGCCAUUGAUACUGCAGAGCUUGAGUACAGUUGCCGUUGGCGGAAUAUGACAUGUAGUGGUGAAAUACAUAGAGAUGUCAUAGAACACCGAUUGCGAAGGCAGCUAACGAAACUGUAACUGACACUGAGGCUCGAAAGUGCGGGGAUCAAACAGGAUUAGAUACCCUGGUAGUCCGCACUGUAAACGAUGAUUACUCGCUGCUGGAGGGCAACUUUCAGUGGCUUAGCGAAAGCGAUAAGUAAUCCACCUGGGGAGUACGCCGGCAACGGUG